GACGAACGCUGGCGGCGUGCUUAACACAUGCAAGUCGAACGGAAAGGCCUGCUUUCCCUUGUGGAUUGCGGGUACUCGAGUGGCGAACGGGUGAGUAACACGUGAGUGAUCUGCCCCCAACUUGGGUAUAAGCCUGGGAAACUGGGUCUAAUUCCCGAUAGGACUGCAGGGUGGUGCCAGUGGUGGAAAACGAUUUUCUAGUGGUUGGGGAUGAGCUCGCGGCCUAUCAGCUUGGUGGUGGGGUAAUGGCCUACCAAGGCGGCGACGGGUAGCCGGCCUGAGAGGGUGGACGGCCACAUUGGGACUGAGAUACGGCCCAGACUCCUACGGGAGGCAGCAGUGGGGAAUAUUGCACAAUGGGCGGAAGCCUGAUGCAGCGACGCCGCGUGGGGGAUGACGGCCUUCGGGUUGUAAACUCCUUUCGACCGCGAGGAAGCCACCUGGUUGGAAGGGUGGUGACGGUAGUGGUAGAAGAAGCACCGGCUAACUACGUG
rnacentral:rRNA from 1 species